AUGAACGCUAGCUACAGGCUUAACACAUGCAAGUCGAGGGGCAUCAGGAAGAAAGCUUGCUUUCUUUGCUGGCGACCGGCGCACGGGUGAGUAACACGUAUCCAACCUGCCCUUUACUCGGGGAUAGCCUUUCGAAAGAAAGAUUAAUACCCGAUGGCAUAAUGAUUCCGCAUGGUUUCAUUAUUAAAGGAUUCCGGUAAAGGAUGGGGAUGCGUUCCAUUAGGUUGUUGGUGAGGUAACGGCUCACCAAGCCUUCGAUGGAUAGGGGUUCUGAGAGGAAGGUCCCCCACAUUGGAACUGAGACACGGUCCAAACUCCUACGGGAGGCAGCAGUGAGGAAUAUUGGUCAAUGGGCGCUAGCCUGAACCAGCCAAGUAGCGUGAAGGAUGAAGGCUCUAUGGGUCGUAAACUUCUUUUAUAUAAGAAUAAAGUGCAGUAUGUAUACUGUUUUGUAUGUAUUAUAUGAAUAAGGAUCGGCUAACUCCGUGCCAGCAGCCGCGGUAAUACGGAGGAUCCGAGCGUUAUCCGGAUUUAUUGGGUUUAAAGGGAGCGUAGGUGGACUGGUAAGUCAGUUGUGAAAGUUUGCGGCUCAACCGUAAAAUUGCAGUUGAUACUGUCAGUCUUGAGUACAGUAGAGGUGGGCGGAAUUCGUGGUGUAGCGGUGAAAUGCUUAGAUAUCACGAAGAACUCCGAUUGCGAAGGCAGCUCACUGGACUGCAACUGACACUGAUGCUCGAAAGUGUGGGUAUCAAACAGGAUUAGAUACCCUGGUAGUCCACACAGUAAACGAUGAAUACUCGCUGUUUGCGAUAUACAGUAAGCGGCCAAGCGAAAGCGUUAAGUAUUCCACCUGGGGAGUACGCCGGCAACGGUGAAACUCAAAGGAAUUGACGGGGGCCCGCACAAGCGGAGGAACAUGUGGUUUAAUUCGAUGAUACGCGAGGAACCUUACCCGGGCUUAAAUUGCAGUGGAAUGAUGUGGAAACAUGUCAGUGAGCAAUCACCGCUGUGAAGGUGCUGCAUGGUUGUCGUCAGCUCGUGCCGUGAGGUGUCGGCUUAAGUGCCAUAACGAGCGCAACCCUUAUCUUUAGUUACUAACAGGUCAUGCUGAGGACUCUAGAGAGACUGCCGUCGUAAGAUGUGAGGAAGGUGGGGAUGACGUCAAAUCAGCACGGCCCUUACGUCCGGGGCUACACACGUGUUACAAUGGGGGGUACAGAAGGCAGCUAGCGGGUGACCGUAUGCUAAUCCCAAAAUCCUCUCUCAGUUCGGAUCGAAGUCUGCAACCCGACUUCGUGAAGCUGGAUUCGCUAGUAAUCGCGCAUCAGCCACGGCGCGGUGAAUACGUUCCCGGGCCUUGUACACACCGCCCGUCAAGCCAUGGGAGCCGGGGGUACCUGAAGUACGUAACCGCAAGGAUCGUCCUAGGGUAAAACUGGUGACUGGGGCU
rnacentral:rRNA from 1 species